CGCUCUGCUCCGUCGCCUCUGUCAAUAAGUUAGGUCAGCGACGUAGAGAUGGGCUGGUAAAUCUAUCUCAUGUGGUUGCACACGCUUCAGCCUGGGAACAUAACAGUCUGUAAAUAUUCUGUGUGCAGUGUUCAAACUGUUUUACGCGCGUGUGUAUUUGGAUUUGUGCACAUGUACAAGAGGACACAACCAGACUUCAGUAAAAGCGAGAAAAGUCACGCCUUUCAUUUUUUUAUUGGAGCACAACCCUUAUCUGACUGGCCUACGCAUGGUGUACGCAUGGUGAGCGCAGUACAGUCAACCUAAAACAUGACAGUCAAAAACAGCCUACUAUCAUAACAAUGAUUUAAGUAGGAUGUAAAUGUCCAGAACAGUAAUAUAAAGGAAACUGUUAAUAUGUGUCCUACUAGACAUCAUUAUGCUAAAUUACCAAAGGUGGCACAGAAGCAAGUUGUACAUAUAUUAAUACAACACAUUUAAAGCAAAAACAUAAAUCUCUGCUACAGUAAUUGUAUUUGAUUGAUUUGUGCCAACCACCAUUCCAACAUGUCACACAUCCAACAUACCAUUUAUUCCACAGGU